rnacentral:ncRNA from 2 species
GAAUAAUGAAAUCUCCGAGCCAUGCAGCCUAAAAGGGAAACCUCACGGCUCCAGGCCAACGGGUUUCGCUGGAAACGGCGGAGCCUCCCUUUUGGAAAGGAGUCCCGGCGCUGAUGCC